rnacentral:rRNA from 1 species
UGACGAGUUUGAUCCUGGCUCAGAACGAACGCUGGCGGCGCGCCUAAUACAUGCAAGUCGAGCGAGAAGACGUAGCAAUACGUUUGUAAAGCGGCGAACGGGUGAGGAAUACAUGGGUAACCUACCCUCGAGUGGGGAAUAACUAGCCGAAAGGUUAGCUAAUACCGCGUACGCUCCUUGGACUUCGGUUCAGGGAGGAAAGCGAUACCGUGGGUAUCGCGCUCUUGGAUGGGGCUCAUGUCCUAUCAGCUUGUUGGUGAGGUAACGGCUCACCAAGCCUGCGAUCUGUAGCUGGUCUGAGAGGACCGACCAGCCACACUGGAACUGAGACAC